GUGAUCACUUCAGCAGCACAUACGCUAAAAUUGGAAUGAUAGAAGAUUAGCAUGGCCCCUGCAUAAAGAUUACAUGCAAAUUCAUGAACACUGGAACAAGCUU
ensembl:snRNA U6 U6 spliceosomal RNA